CCUAAUCCCAUCCCUGACCCCAAUCCCAACCCUAAACCUUAAUUGUGACCCUUAAUCCCAUCCCUGACCCCAAUCCCAUCCCUAAUCCCAAACCGUAACCCAACCCCAAAUCCCAUCCCAACCCCACCCCAACCCUUAACCCCAACCCCUAAUCCCAACCCCAACCCCUAAUCCCUAAUCCCAACCCCAACCCUUAAUCCUUAACCCCAACCCCUAAUCCCUAAUCCCAACCCCAACCCUUAAUCCCAUCCCAACCCUUAAUCCCAACCCCAACCCUUAAUCCCAUCCCUGACCCCAAUCCCAGCCCCUCCCCCACUCCGUAUCCGACCCCCCCACGUGACCUCCGCUCCGUCCCUCCGCUCUCUCCCCGCGCAUGCGCAGUGCGUCGACGCGCCGAUGUGGGCGUGGCCAUCCUCCGGCGCGCGCUUGAGGACGUGGCGCUUUCCAUCCAAUCAGCGCCCGCGGCGGGGAACGAGUGGGCGGGGCCACGAGGAGGGGGACUGAUGGAGUGAGGCGGGACAACGCGCUGACGGGCAGCGGGAUAAACCAAUCAGCGCGCGUCGCUUGCAACACCCCGAGGGGUGGGUGCUUUCUGAUUGGUCAGCGUAGGAAGGAGGCGGGAGCGUGCGGCGUGGCGCGGCGCUACUUCCGGUCGGUGCGGCGGAGCGGCGGGGAGAGGGCGGCGGAGCGGCCGGUCACCAUGAGCACCCAGGAGCUGCUGGUGCUGCUGUGUCUGAGGCGCGGCGUGCGUGGCCGCCAAGCCCCACGGAGAAGAAGAGCGCGUGACCACGAGGCGCCGCUGAGCGCGACACAGGAGGCACAACGACGCUACAGAGCUUCGACUACGACCACGACGCCUUCCUGGGAGCCCGACGAAGGGCCAAACAAAACCUUCGACCAGCUGACGCCGGAGGAGAGCAAGGAGAGACUGGGGUAGGGACUGAGAGCAAGGAGAGACUGGGGUAGGGACUGAGAGCAAGGAGAGACUGGGGUAGGGACUGACAAAGCAAGGAGAGACUGGGUGUAGGGACUGAAGAGCAGGAGAGACCUGGGGUAGGGACUGACGA
rnacentral:lncRNA from 1 species